GAUGAACGCUGGCGGCGUGCCUAAUACAUGCAAGUCGAGCGAACAGACCCGGAGCUUGCUCCUCUGUCGUUUGGGGAGGAGGGGUGAGUAACGCGUGGAUAACCUCCCUAUCUGAGUGGGAACACUUCGGAACACGGGAUAUAAUAGCGGAUAAUAUAUUGAACCGCGUGGUUCAAUGGUGAGAUACGGUUUUGCGGUCACUUCUAGAUGGAUCCGGGCCGCAUUAGCUGGUUGGUAAGGUAAACGGUUACCAAGGGUAGGAUGCGUGGGCGACCUGAGGGGGUGAUCGGCCACACGGGAACGGAGACACGGACCAGAGUCCUACGAGAGGCAGCAGUAGGGAAUCGUACGCAAUGGGCGAAAGUUUGACGGAGCAACGCCGCGCGAGUUAUGAAGGUCUUGGGAUCGGGAAACUCUGUUACGAGGUAAGAACAAAUGUGGAAGGAACUAUGCACGGCGUGACGGUACCGGAUCAGAAAGCCACGGCUAACUACGUG
rnacentral:rRNA from 1 species